rnacentral:rRNA from 1 species
GACGAAAGCUGGCGGCGUGCCUAAUACAUGCAAGUCGAACGCAGUGGGGACGGGUGAGUAACACGUGGGUAACCUCCCAUCAGAGGGGAUAACCCUUGGAAACAGGUGCUAAACCGAUACUGAUGGAUGGACCCGCGGUGCAUUAGCUAGUUGGUGAGGUAACGGCUCACCAAGGCCACGAUGCAUACCCGACCUGACAGAGUGAUCGGCCAAACUGGGACUGAGACACGGCCCAGACUCCUACGGUAGGAAGCAGUAGGGAAUAUUCGGCAAUGGACGAAAGUCUGACCGAGCAACGCCGCGUGAGUGAAGAAGGUUUUCGGAUCGUAAAACUCUGUUGUUAGAGAAGCGGUAUCUAACCAGAAAGCCACGGCUAACUACGGGCCAGCAGACGCGGUAAUAC